rnacentral:rRNA from 1 species
AGAGUUUGAUCAUGGCUCAGAUUGAACGCUGGCGGCAGGCCUAACACAUGCAAGUCGAACGGUAGCACAGAGGAGCUUGCUCCUUGGGUGACGAGUGGCGGACGGGUGAGUAAUGUCUGGGAAACUGCCCGAUGGAGGGGGAUAACUACUGGAAACGGUAGCUAAUACCGCAUAACAGUUUAUGCCGCAUGGCAUAAGAGUGAAAGGCGCUUUCGGGUGUCGCUGAUGGAUGGACCCGCGGUGCAUUAGCUAGUUGGUGAGGUAACGGCUCACCAAGGCCACGAUGCAUAGCCGACCUGAGAGGGUGAUCGGCCACACUGGGACUGAGACACGGUCCAGACUCCUACGGGAGGCAGCAGUGGGGAAUAUUGCACAAUGGGCGCAAGCCUGAUGCAGCCAUGCCGCGUGUAUGAAGAAGGCCUUCGGGUUGUAAAGUACUUUCAGCGGGGAGGAAGGCGUUGAGGUUAAUAACCUCAGCGAUUGACGUUACUCGCAGAAGAAGCACCGGCUAACUCCGUGCCAGCCGCCGCGGUAAUUC